rnacentral:rRNA from 1 species
GAACGGAAAGGCCCUGCUUGCAGGGUACUCGAGUGGCGAACGGGUGAGUAACACGUGGGUGAUCUGCCCUGCACUUCGGGAUAAGCUUGGGAAACUGGGUCUAAUACCGGAUAGGACCGCACUUUAGUGUGUGUGGUGGAAAGUUUUUUCGGUGUAGGAUGGGCUCGCGGCCUAUCAGCUUGUUGGUGGGGUAAUGGCCUACCAAGGCGGCGACGGGUAGCCGGCCUGAGAGGGUGUACGGCCACAUUGGGACCGAGAUACGGCCCAGACUCCUACGGGAGGCAGCAGUGGGGGAUAUUGCACAAUGGGCGCAAGCCUGAUGCAGCGACGCCGCGUGGGGGAUGAAGGCCUUCGGGUUGUAAACUCCUUUCGCUAGGGACGAAGCUUUUUGUGACGGUACCUAGAUAAGAAGCACCGGCUAACUACGUGCCAGCAGCCGCGGUAAUACGUAGGGUGCGAGCGUUGUCCGGAAUUACUGGGCGUAAAGGGCUCGUAGGUGGUUUGUCGCGUCGUCUGUGAAAUUCUGGGGCUUAACUCCGGGCGUGCAGGCGAUACGGGCAUAACUUGAGUGCUGUAGGGGUAACUGGAAUUCCAGGUGUAGCGGUGAAAUGCGCAGAUAUCAGGAGGAACACCGAUGGCGAAGGCAGGUUAC